AUGAGUGGGAGGUGAGGACGUGGAACGAGAAAAAUGGUGAGGACGGCUCUUUGAAGAAGAUAAUUUGGGAUUGUUUUAUGGUGUUUUUUUAAAGGCUAAGGAACAGGAAGGAGAGGAGGUGAAGGUACAGGAAGGAAGGCUCCUGGGAACUAUAGCCUGGUCAAGGGACAAGAUGCACCCCCUCUGCGGCCAGAGGAAGGGGUGCAGCCACGUCUGUAAGAGCAGCAGGACAAACCCAUGCGACAGCCUGUCUCAAGGCCAAUCCUAGCCCAGCGUGGCGCAGUAGUGGGUCAGGGGGGGCACGGGAACAGAGCGACCCGACAGCCUGGGAAACGGACAGCCGUGUCAGAAGGGCAGGUGCCAGUGGGCAGGAGGCCGGAGAGAAAGCCGCAGCUUACUUUCACCUCGCGCCGGGCCCGCGGCCGUGCACGGGGACCGCUCCGGGUUCCUCCCGGCGAGAACCCCCCGCCCCAGAACUUUGGUCUCGUCCCACCCACCCCCGCCCGCGCCAUGGUCUCGCCCUAGGGCGCCAUCGAUAACUCUACGCUCGGCCUCGAUCGACUCGAUCCGGCUCCC
rnacentral:sRNA from 1 species